rnacentral:rRNA from 1 species
CCCCCGGGACCGAAGGGUCCGCCACGCCCCGUCCCGAUUUAUAUGAAAAACCACUCUUUUUAUUAAGAUUACUGUCUAACACCGUACAAGUAAGAUAGUUUGGUUGGGGCGACCGCCUUCGAAAAAGUAUCGAAGGCGCACAUAAGAUUAAUCAGGAGAAGGAUCCGAAGGAUCUUUUUCUCGGGAGUAAUGUCCCAAAAAAGGAGAUUAAUUUGACUGAGAGGGCAACAACCCGAACAGACGUCAAAGGAU